AGAGUUUGAUCCUGGCUCAGGAUGAACGCUAGCGACAGGCCUAACACAUGCAAGUCGAGGGGCAUCGGGGCGAGGAGCAAUCCUUGCCGCCGGCGACCGGCGCACGGGUGAGUAACGCGUAUGCGACCUGCCCGUUGCAGGGGGAUAAUCGGGAGAAAUCCCGUCUAAUACCGCGUAAUGCCGCGGGGCUGCAUGGCCCUGCGGCCAAAGGGAGCGAUUCCGGCAACGGAUGGGCAUGCGUGACAUUAGCUAGUUGGCCGGGGCAACGGCCCACCAAGGCGACGAUGUCUAGGGGUUCUGAGAGGAAGGUCCCCCACACUGGUACUGAGACACGGACCAGACUCCUACGGGAGGCAGCAGUGAGGAAUAUUGGUCAAUGGACGAGAGUCUGAACCAGCCAAGUAGCGUGAAGGAUGAAGGUUCUAUGGAUUGUAAACUUCUUUUAUACGGGAAUAAACGAAUCCACGCGUGGAUUUUUGCAUGUACCGUAUGAAUAAGGAUCGGCUAACUCCGUGCCAGCAGCCGCGGUAAUACGGAGGAUCCGAGCGUUAUCCGGAUUUAUUGGGUUUAAAGGGAGCGUAGAUGGGUUGUUAAGUCAGUUGUGAAAGUUUGCGGCUCAACCGUAAAAUUGCAAUUGAUACUGGCAGUCUUGAGUACAGUUGAGGUAGGCGGAAUUCGUGGUGUAGCGGUGAAAUGCUUAGAUAUCACGAAGAACUCCGAUUGCGAAGGCAGCUUACUAACCUGUAACUGACAUUGAUGCUCGAAAGUGUGGGUAUCAAACAGGAUUAGAUACCCUGGUAGUCCACACGGUAAACGAUGAAUACUCGCUGUAGGCGAUAUACGGUCUGCGGCCAAGCGAAAGCAUUAAGUAUUCCACCUGGGGAGUACGCCGGCAACGGUGAAACUCAAAGGAAUUGACGGGGGCCCGCACAAGCGGAGGAACAUGUGGUUUAAUUCGAUGAUACGCGAGGAACCUUACCCGGGCUUAAAUUGCAACCGAAUAUGGCGGAAACGCCAUAGCUAGCAAUAGCGGUUGUGAAGGUGCUGCAUGGUUGUCGUCAGCUCGUGCCGUGAGGUGUCGGCUUAAGUGCCAUAACGAGCGCAACCCUUGCCGAUAGUUACUAACAGGUUAUGCUGAGGACUCUGUCGGGACUGCCAUCGUAAGAUGUGAGGAAGGUGGGGAUGACGUCAAAUCAGCACGGCCCUUACGUCCGGGGCUACACACGUGUUACAAUGGGGGGUACAGAGGGCUGCUACCACGCAAGUGGAUGCCAAUCCCAAAAACCUCUCUCAGUUCGGAUUGAAGUCUGCAACCCGACUUCAUGAAGCUGGAUUCGCUAGUAAUCGCGCAUCAGCCACGGCGCGGUGAAUACGUUCCCGGGCCUUGUACACACCGCCCGUCA
rnacentral:rRNA from 1 species